GAUGAACGCUGGUGGCGUGCCUAACACAUGCAAGUCGAGCGAUUCUCUUCGGAGAAGAGCGGCGGACGGGUGAGUAACGCGUGGGUAACCUGCCCUGUACACACGGAUAACAUACCGAAAGGUAUGCUAAUACGAGAUAACAUGCUUUUAUCGCAUGGUAGAAGUAUCAAAGCUUUUGCGGUACAGGAUGGACCCGCGUCUGAUUAGCUAGUUGGUGAGGUAACGGCUCACCAAGGCGACGAUCAGUAGCCGACCUGAGAGGGUGAUCGGCCACAUUGGAACUGAGACACGGUCCAAACUCCUACGGGAGGCAGCAGUGGGGAAUAUUGCACAAGGGGCGAAAGCCUGAUGCAGCAACGCCGCGUGAGCGAUGAAGGCCUUCGGGUCGGAAAGCUCUGUCCUCAAGGAAGAUAAUGACGGUACUUGAGGAGGAAGCCCCGGCUAACUACGUG
rnacentral:rRNA from 1 species